rnacentral:rRNA from 1 species
GAUCUGGUUCAGGAUGAACGCUAGCGGCAGGCUUAACACAUGCAAGUCGAGGGGCAUCGGGAGUAGCAAUACUGCCGGCGACCGGCGCAAGGGUGCGUAACGCGUGAGCAACAUGCCCGUAUCAGGGGGGAUAAUCCAUGGAAACGUGGUCUAAUACCCCAUAGUAAUUAUGUAAGGCAUCUUAUAUAAUUUAAAGCUUUGGUGGAUACGGAUUGGCUCGCGUGACAUUAGCUGGAUGGUAAGGUAACGGCUUACCAUGGCUACGAUGUCUAGGGGUUCUGAGAGGAAGGUCCCCCACACUGGAACUGAGACACGGUCCAGACUCCUACGGGAGGCAGCAGUGAGGAAUAUUGGACAAUGGAUGGAAAUCUGAUCCAGCCAUGCCGCGUGCAAGGAAGACGGCCCUAUGGGUUGUAAACUGCUUUUGUAUGGGAGCAAUAAGGGCUACGUGUAGUCCGAUGAGAGUACCAUACGAAUAAGCACCGGCUAACUCCGUGCCAGCAGCCGC